CUGAGUACGGCGGAACACGUGAAAUUCCGUCGGAAUCCGGGAGGACCAUCUCCCAAGGCUAAAUACUCCCUAGUGACCGAUAGUGAACCAGUACCGUGAGGGAAAGGUGAAAAGCACCCCGGAAGGGGAGUGAAACAGUUCCUGAAACCGUGUGCCUACAAGUAGUUAGAGCCCGUUAAUGGGUGAUAGCGUGCCUUUUGUAGAAUGAACCGGCGAGUUACGAUUUGUUGCAAGGUUAAGCGGAAAAAGCGGAGCCGUAGCGAAAGCGAGUCUGAAUAGGGCGCAUAAGUAACAGGUCGUAGACCCGAAACCAGGUGAUCUACCCAUGUCCAGGAUGAAGGUAAGGUAAUACUUACUGGAGGUCCGAACCCACGCACGUUGAAAAGUGCGGGGAUGAGGUGUGGGUAGCGGAGAAAUUCCAAUCGAACUUGGAGAUAGCUGGUUCUCUCCGAAAUAGCUUUAGGGCUAGCCUCGAGGUAAAGAGUCAUGGAGGUAGAGCACUGUUUGGACUAGGGGCCCUUCUCGGGUUACCGAAUUCAGAUAAACUCCGAAUGCCAUGUACUUAUACUCGGGAGUCAGACUGCGAGUGAUAAGAUCCGUAGUCGAAAGGGAAACAGCCCAGACCACCAGUUAAGGUCCCCAAAUAUAUGUUAAGUGGAAAAGGAUGUGGGGUUGCUUAGACAACCAGG
rnacentral:rRNA from 1 species